rnacentral:lncRNA from 1 species
GGGUGCACUGUUAGAGGGGAACUGGGGAUGGGUGUUGCACGGGGAUUGAGUGGAGCUGGGGUAGGUGCUGCAGUGGGUGGGUAGAAGUGAUGGAAUGUACUGAGAGAGUUAUGACUGGAGGGUAGGGAGGUGGAUGUGAAGGCUAGUUAAGUGUCAGUGCUGUUGGAAGUUUAGGGUGCUGUGGAAGUAGGUACUGGGGUUCAGAAUGCUACUGAGGAUAUGGCAAUGGGUAUUGAAGGGCCAGUGAGCUGCUGGAGAUGGGUUCUGGGGUAGUUGGGAGCUGUUAUAGGCAUUGGUGGCUUCUGGGAUGCAUGGGGUGGUGGAUGGUAUUGCUAGACAAUAGGGUCUACUCUACAGUGGUUUUGGAAUCGUCAAAGAUGACAACGCUCAGUAACUUAAACAUCCAUCUCCGAGGAUGAGUUUUCUAUAUCAGCUCAGGAUUUCAUGGAUACCAUGGAGAUGAAGGAAUUAUUGUCUCAAAUUCUUGAUUUAUUGUGUGGCUAGGACUGGAGAUUAGGCAUUUGGAUAUUAAAUCUAUGUCAUGGACUAAUCAUUACCUACCUCUUGUGGUUUGAGUUUAGGACUCAUCUAUUCUCCACAAGGUACUGGUUGAUAAUACACCCUAUGAAGUUAAUGGAAUGGGAACUCUUCCAGAAGGCCCAAAGGGAAGAUAUGACACAUUCAACAGACUUCGGGACUUGGUAGGAUUUAUGUUAAUCUACUAUUUUCAGCCAUUGAUGGGGUGGCCUUAGUGCCCUCGUCUUCAGCUAUGUCCUCACUGAUCACCUUGAUUUACAGAUGAAGUGAGAGUGAAGAAUGUUAGAAGAACACCAGUGAUGGAAGUCAUGGGCUGAAACUGACCAAGUGCACUACAAAAGCUUUUUGAAUUCUUACAUCGUGGCUCUGAAGGAGACAGACAAAUGUCUGCAUCAUGGUGUCUGCAAAGUGCUGUUCAGUCGAUUUUGAAUUAUAACAGUUGGGUUAAUCCAAGCUAUCUUUAUUCAAUGGCCCAACUCAAAAAGGUUAGGAAAUGCCCAAAUUAAGGUUGCCCAUGCAACUUUAAUUUGGUCCUCUUCUGUGUAUGCAUUAUGAUACACUUCUUAAUUACAUGAUCACGUACUGUUUUUCCACAGGACCCUGACCUAGUCAGUGCACUGGGAGGACGGUGUUCAGAGAAUGGGUAACUAUUCAGUAUUUCUUUUCAUCCUCAUCAUUCAGUGUGUAGUCCCAUGCAUUGUUUAGUGCAUGCCUCCCAAACUCUGCACUGAAUACAGAAUUGUUAAUUUCCUCAUGGGCUUUUCUAUGAUGCUGUCAUUGUCAUAGCUUAGUUCUUAACAAACUUUAACGAGUUUAUCUUCAAAACCUUCUUGUGACGUGAGCUGUUAUUGUUUGUCCCCAUUUGACAGAUGAGGAAAUGAG